rnacentral:piRNA from 1 species
UGGCAAAUCCUGGAUUGCACUCACUCUGU